rnacentral:rRNA from 1 species
AGUGAACGCUGGCGGCAGGCCUAAUACAUGCAAGUCGAACGGCAGCACAGCAGAGCUUGCUCUGUGGGUGGCGAGUGGCGGACGGGUGAGGAAUACAUGGGAAUCUGCCCAGUCGUGGGGGAUAACGUAUGGAAACGUACGCUAAUACCGCAUGCGCCCUUUGGGGGAAAGCCGGGGACCUUCGGGCCUGGCGCGAUUGGAUGAGCCCAUGUUCGAUUAGCUAGUUGGCGGGGUAAAGGCCCACCAAGGCGACGAUCGAUAGCUGGUCUGAGAGGAUGAUCAGCCACACUGGGACUGAGACACGGCCCAGACUCCUACGGGAGGCAGCAGUAGGGAAUAUUGGACAAUGGGCGCAAGCCUGAUCCAGCCAUACCGCGUGAGUGAAGAAGGCCCUCGGGUUGUAAAGCUCUUUUGUCCGGAAAGAAAAGCAUUCGGUUAAUACCCGGGUGUUCUGACGGUACCGGAAGAAUAAGCACCGGCUAACUUCGUG